rnacentral:rRNA from 1 species
UGAGGAAUAUUGGACAAUGGGCGCAAGCCUGAUCCAGCAAUGCCGCGUGCAGGAUGAAGGCCUUCGGGUUGUAAACUGCUUUUGUACGGAACGAAAAGACUCCUUCUAAUAAAGGGGGUCCAUGACGGUACCGUAAGAAUAAGCACCGGCUAACUACGUGCCAGCAGCCGCGUUAAUACGUAGGGUGCGAGCGUUAAUCGGAAUUACUGGGCGUAAAGCGUGCGCAGGCGGUUAUAUAAGACAGAUGUGAAAUCCCCGGGCUCAACCUGGGAACUGCAUUUGUGACUGUAUAGCUAGAGUACGGCAGAGGGGGAUGGAAUUCCGCGUGUAGCAGUGAAAUGCGUAGAUAUAGGAAGGAACACCGAUGGCGAAGGCAAUCCCCUGGACCUGUACUGACGCUCAUGCACGAAAGCGUGGGGAGCAAACA